rnacentral:rRNA from 1 species
UUAAUUCAUACAUCUUAUUUAAUUUCUGUUGUUGAUUUAUUUAUUUUUAUUUGAUGUUAAGAUUGAGGGGGAUUAGCUCCUUGUUCUGCUUUUAUAAUUGUCUAUUGUUAAUUUAGUUUUGUGGAUUUUAUGGUGAUUUUCUAUUUGAUUAUGUUAAAAUUUUAUUUGUUCUUUUUUUAAUUUUUUUGUUAUUUAAGUUAUUUAUUGAAAUGUUUUCUUUACUUUUGGUUUGUAUGGUAAUUAUUGUGUAAUUAGUAAAUUUUAUUGGUUGUUUUGUGAGUGCGAGAGUGUUAAUUGCUUUUGAGGAAUUCGGCAAAAUUUUAUGUCCGCCUGUUUAACAAAAACAUCUUUUCUUGUUAGUUUUUGAAGUAUGGCCUGCCCACUGACUGUUAAAGUUGAAGGGCCGCGGUAUUUUGACCGUGCAAAGGUAGCAUAAUCAUUAGUUCUUUAAUUGUGAUCUGGUAUGAAUGGCUUGACGAGACAUAAGCUGUCUUAGAGGUAUUGGUUUAUUGAAUUUGGUUUUUGAGUUAAAAUUCUUAAAUGUUUUUAUGGGACGAGAAGACCCUAUAGAGUUUGACAAUUUUCUUAUUUGUUCGUUGUUUGUUUUUUUACAUUAAGUGGGAAUAGAUUGUUUUGUUGGGGUGAUGGGAGGAAUAUUAUUUAACUCCUCUUUGUUUUUGUAUAUUUAUUUAUAUUUUUUUGAUCCAUUUAUUUUGAUUAUAAGAUUAAAUUACC